rnacentral:rRNA from 1 species
CAGCAGGCGCGAAAACUUUGCAAUACACGAAAGUGUGACAGGGUCAUCCCGAGUGCCGACCGCUGAGGUUGGCUUUUACCCAGUCUAGAAAGCUGGGGGAAUAAGGAGAGGGCAAGUCUGGUGUCAGCCGCCGCGGUAAUACCAGCUCUCCGAGUGGUGUGGACGUUUAUUGGGCCUAAAGCAUCCGUAGCUGGCUGAACAAGUCCCCUGUUAAACCCACCGAUUUAAUCGUUGGUCUGCGGGGGAUACUGCUCGGCUAGGGGACGAGAGAGGCAGACGGUAUUCCCGGGGUAGGGGUGAAAUCCUAUAAUCCCGAGAAGACCACCAGUGGCGAAGGCUGUCUGCUAGAACGCGCCCGACGGUGAGGGAUGAAAGCUGGGGGAGCGAACCGGAUUAGAUACCCGGGUAGUCCCAGCUGUAAACGAUGCAGACUAGGUGUUUGGACGGCCACGUGCCGUUCUAGUGCCGCAGGGAAGCUGUUAAGUCUGCCGCCUGGGGAGUACGAUCGCAAGAUUGAAACUUAAAGGAAUUGGCGGGGGAGCAC